CCUGGCGGCCAUAGCGCGGUGGUCCCACCUGAAUCCAUGCCGAACUCAGAAGUGAAACGCCGUAGCGCCGAUGGUAGUGUGGGGUCUCCCCAUGCGAGAGUAGGACACUGCCAGGC
rnacentral:rRNA from 2 species